rnacentral:misc_RNA from 1 species
GAAAUGCGAAAAGUAAUGUGAAUUGCAGAAUUCAGUGAAUCAUCGAAUCUUUGAACGCACCUUGCGCUCCUUGGUAUUCCUUGGAGCAUGCCUGUUUGAGUAUCAUGAAAUCUUCAAAGUAAAUCUUUUGUUAACUCAAUUGGUUUCUACUUUGGUAUUGGAGGUCUUUGCAGCUUCACACCUGCUCCUCUUUGUUCAUUAGCUGGAUCUCAGUGUUAUGCUUGGUUCCACUCGGCGUGAUAAGUUAUCUAUCGCUGAGGACACUGUAAAAGGUGGCCAAGGUAAAUGCAGAUGAACCGCUUCUAAUAGUCCAUUGACUUGGACAAUACUUUUAUGAUCUGAUCUCAAAUCAGGUAGGACUACCCGCUGAACUUAAGC